rnacentral:misc_RNA from 1 species
GAUGAAGAACGUAGCGAAAUGCGAUAAGUAAUGUGAAUUGCAGAAUUCAGUGAAUCAUCGAAUCUUUGAACGCACAUUGCGCCCGCCAGUAUUCUGGCGGGCAUGCCUGUCCGAGCGUCAUUUCAACCCUCGAACCCCUCCGGGGGGUCGGCGUUGGGGAUCGGCCCUUUCACCGGGUGCCGUCCCCCAAAUACAGUGGCGGUCUCGCCGCAGCCUCUCAUGCGCAGUAGUUUGCACACUCGCACCGGGAGCGCGGCGCGUCCACGUCCGUAAAACACCCCAAACUUCUGAAAUGUUGACCUCGGAUCAGGUAGGAAUACCCGCUGAACUUAAGCAUAUCAAUAGCGGAGGA